rnacentral:rRNA from 1 species
UACGUAGGGGGCUAGCGUUGUCCGGAAUCAUUGGGCGUAAAGGGUGCGUAGGCGGCGCGGUAAGUCGGGUGUGAAAUCUCGGAGCUUAACUCCGAAACUGCAUUCGAUACUGGCGUGCUUGAGGACUGGAGAGGAGACUGGAAUUCAUGGUGUAGCAGUGAAAUGCGUAGAGAUCAUGAGGAAGACCAGUGGCGAAGGCGGGUCUCUGGACAGUUCCUGACACUGAGACACGAAGGCCAGGGGAGCAAACGGG